rnacentral:rRNA from 1 species
UACAGAGGUGGCAAGCGUUGUUCGGAAUUACUGGGCGUAAAGGGCGCGUAGGCGGCUUGGUCAGUCCCGUGUGAAAUCCCUCGGCUCAACUGAGGAACUGCACGGGAAACUGCCUGGCUUGAGUUCGGGAGAGGGAAGCGGAAUUCCGGGUGUAGCGGUGAAAUGCGCAGAUAUCAGGAAGAACACCCGUGGCGAAAGCGGCUCUCUGGGACGGUACUGACGCUGAGACGCGAAAGCGUGGGGAGCGAACAGG